UACAGAGGGGGCAAGCGUUGUUCGGAAUUACUGGGCGUAAAGGGUUCGUAGGUGGCCAACUCAGUCAGACGUGAAAUCCCUCAGCUCAACUGGGGAACUGCGUCUGAUACUAGAUGGCUCGAGUGCAGGAGAGGAACGCGGAAUUCCAGGUGUAGCGGUGAAAUGCGUAGAUAUCUGGAGGAACACCGGUGGCGAAGGCGGCGUUCUGGACUGCAACUGACACUGAGGAACGAAAGCCAGGGGAGCAAACAGG
rnacentral:rRNA from 1 species